UACGUAGGGGGCGAGCGUUAUCCGGAAUUACUGGGCGUAAAGCGCACGCAGGCGGUUCGCCAAGUUUGGUGUGACAGUUGUCGGCUCAACCGACAAAGGACUUCAAAAACUGGUGAACUUGAGGACGAGAGAGGAACAUGGAACUCCAGGUGUAGUAGUGAAAUGCGUAGAUAUCUGGAAGAACACCAAUGGCGAAGGCAAUGUUCUGGCUCGUUUCUGUCGCUCAGGUGCGAAAGCCAGGGGAGCGAACGGG
rnacentral:rRNA from 1 species